rnacentral:sRNA from 1 species
GAAAAGGUAGGCUUAAGCUAAAAUUCUGUUGUUAAGCAUAAUGGUAUAUAAGCAUGCCUGACUGUGAGACCUACUGGUCGAACAGAGACGAAAGUCGGCCAUAGUGAUCCGAGAGUCCCAUGUGGAAGGGCUCUCGCUCGACGGAUCCUAGGGAUAAUAGGCUGAUAACUCCAAAAGCUUUUAUCGAUGGAGUUGUUUGGCACCUCGAUGUUGACUCAUCACAUCCUGGGGUUGAAAAAGGUCCCAAGGGUUCGGUUGUUCGCCGAUUCAAUGGUACAUGAGUUGGGUUUAGAAUGUGUAUUAUUC